GGUGUGUGAGCAUGGUGUAGUUUGCUGGAACUGUGUCAGCUUUGAGUGGUCAUCAGCUAAACUCCAAAAUACCUCAGAGGGGUUUUAAAGCCUGCCCUGGGCUUUGCACUGGGAUAGACAAGAAGAGACUCGAGUCCCUGUGCCAGCACAUGAGGGUCUAGAUCUGUCCCUCCCUCGUGGGAUCCUCUGCAUCCAGACCCUCCUGGUGGCUGUGGAAGAGGCUGGUUCUGCACACUGUGAUGGAUGCAGCAAUUUUGCCAUCGGGUUCUGACAGGUUAAACUCCUCUGGGUGCUGCUGAGGAGUCUAUGAGAGGAUUUAAACACCUAAACACUUCUAAUUAUCUGCAGCCAACACACUGAUCUGCCAAGACUGAUGCUCAAAGUGAAGUGUUGAGUGAAAACUGAGUGACAAGCAGCCAGAAACAGAGGCAUGGAAUAGGAGGAGCAACACCCCACACAUUCUGUGCUUAUCAUAAGGGAUUUGCUGGGCAUGUGACCCAUAAAGCAGCACCUGCAGCCCAUGUUUAGUGCUCUGGUGUGUUUGAAAAGAUCUGUCCA